GACGAACGCUGGCGGCGUGCCUAAUACAUGCAAGUCGAGCGAGCGGAACUAACAGAUUUACUUCGGUACUGACGUUAGGAAAGCGAGCGGCUGAUGGGUGCGUAACACGUGGGGAACCUGCCCCAUAGUCUGGGAUACCCCUUGGAAACAGGUGCUAAUACCGGAUAAGAAAGCAGAUCGCAUGAUCAGCUUUUAAAAGGCGGCGUAAGCUGUCGCUAUGGGAUGGCCCCGCGGUGCCUUAGCUAGUUGGUAAGGUAAAGGCUUACUAAGGCGAUGAUGCAUAGCCGAGGCGAGAGACUGAUCGGCCACAUUAGGACUGAGACACGGCCCAAGCUCCUACGGGAGGCAGCAGUAGGGAAUCUUCCACAAUGGACGCAAGUCUGAUGGAGCAACGCCGCGUGAGUGAAGAAGGUGUUCGGAUCGUAAAGCUCUGUUGUUGGUGAAGAAGGAUAGAGGUAGUAACUGGCCUGUAUUUGACGGUAAUCAACCAGAAAGUCACGGCUAACUACGUG
rnacentral:rRNA from 1 species